rnacentral:rRNA from 1 species
CCUACGGGCGGCAGCAGUGAGGGAUAUUGGUCAAUGGGCGCGAGCCUGAACCAGCCAAGUAGCGUGAAGGAUGACUGCCCUACGGGUUGUAAACUUCUUUUAUAAAGGAAUAAAGUGAGGCACGUGUGCCUUUUUGUAUGUACUUUAUGAAUAAGGAUCGGCUAACUCCGGGCCAGCAGCCGCGGUAAUACGGAGGGUCCGAGCGUUAUCCGGAUUUAGUGGGUUUAAAGGGAGCGUAGAUGGGGUGUUAAGUCAGUUGUGAAAGUUUGCGGCUCAACCGUAAGAUUGCAAUUGAUACUGGCAGGCUUGAGUGCAGGAGAGGUAGGCGGAAUUCGUGGUGUAGCGGUGAAAUGCUUAGAUAUCACGAAGAACUCCGAUUGCGAAGGCAGCCUACUAAACUGCCACUGACAUUGAGGCUCGAAAGUGUGGGUAGCAAACAGGAUUAGAUACCCCAGUAGUC